rnacentral:rRNA from 2 species
UGGGGGAUAUUGCACAAUGGGCGAAAGCCUGAUGCAGCGACGCCGCGUGAGGGAAGACGGUCUUCGGAUUGUAAACCUCUGUCUUCGGGGACGAUAAUGACGGUACCCGAGGAGGAAGCCACGGCUAACUACGUGCCAGCAGCCGCGGUAAUACGUAGGUGGCGAGCGUUGUCCGGAAUUACUGGGUGUAAAGGGAGCGUAGGCGGGAGUGCAAGUUGAAUGUUAAAUCUAUCGGCUCAACCGAUAUUCGCGUUCAAAACUGCAUUUCUUGAGUGAAGUAGAGGUUGGCGGAAUUCCUAGUGUAGCGGUGAAAUGCGUAGAUAUUAGGAGGAACACCAGUGGCGAAGGCGGCUUUCUGGACUGUAACUGACGCUGAGGCACGAAAGCGUGGGGAGCAAACAGG